GACGAACGCUGGCGGCGUGCUUAACACAUGCAAGUCGAACGGAAAGGCCCUGCUUGCAGGGUACUCGAGUGGCGAACGGGUGAGUAACACGUGGGUGAUCUGCCCUGCACUUCGGGAUAAGCCUGGGAAACUGGGUCUAAUACCGGAUAGGAGCCAUUUUUAGUGUGAUGGUCGGAAAGUUUUUUCGGUGUAGGAUGAGCUCGCGGCCUAUCAGCUUGUUGGUGGGGUAAUGGCCUACCAAGGCGGCGACGGGUAGCCGGCCUGAGAGGGUGGACGGCCACAUUGGGACUGAGAUACGGCCCAGACUCCUACGGGAGGCAGCAGUGGGGAAUAUUGCACAAUGGGCGCAAGCCUGAUGCAGCGACGCCGCGUGGGGGAUGACGGCCUCGG
rnacentral:rRNA from 1 species